rnacentral:rRNA from 1 species
UUGCGCUAUAAGAUGAGCCUAGGGUCGGAUUAGCUAGUUGGUGAGGUAAUGGCUCACCAAGGCUACGAUCCGUAACUGGUCUGAGAGGAUGAUCAGUCACACUGGAACUGAGACACGGUCCAGACUCCUACGGGGAGGCAGCAGGUGGGGAAUAUUGGACAAUGGGCGAAAGCCUGAUCCAGCCAUGCCGCGUGUGUGAAGAAGGUCUUCGGAUUGUAAAGCACUUUAAGUUGGGAGGAAGGGCAUUAACCUAAUACGUUAGUGUCUUGACGUUACCGACAGAAUAAGCACCGGCUAACUCUGUG